UACAUAGACUGGGCCGAGACAAAGCGCCUCGCUCUAACCCUGUCGUCUCUCCCUUUUCCUGUGCCGGCGACGAGUGACGCUUGAUUUGCUUCUCCAUGUAUGAAACGGGCGGAGUUAUGGUUCGUCUUGAUUUCUUUUUAUUCAAUCACCCACAAAGAGAUCUUGAAUGAUGCAUUCUUCACUCUGAGACGGUGUCAGAUCGGUAUAAAUAUAGUUUUCUUCUCCCACUUGAAGACCGGUGGUUGCACAUCCGUCGUCGAGGCUAGGCUGCUGCGUUUCUGGGAGGCGAGAAAUGUCAAGCGUGGUGGUGAGCUCAUGUGGGUUGAUAUAAUUUCGGUUGACGUGAAUAUGACUAUGACUAUGAUGCUCACUGGGAGAUGGACAAGUAACCUCGAUUGUUUUGACUUUCAGAUUUUGAAGGUUUCGUUCAUAUCUGGAAAGAAGGGAAUCAUAAUUCUGGGCUUGAUCUAGAUUCAUAUAUAUACGUAAGUAUCUCUAACGUAAGUCCUCUUGGUUACAUGCUUAGGGCAGAUUUCGUCCUACUUGAAAGCUUUACUAAUAAAUCUUGGUAAAAUAACUUAAUAGGACAGCCUGUCAUUGAGGAGUUCAUUAUUAAUCCCAACUCUGCUUAUUUUCUACUCUUAGCUUCUUAGACAUUAAAGUGCAGUCUUUUUAAGGAGUUUGCCUUCUUUCUUAAUGUAUACUAUAUUGCCUUCUUUCUUAAUGUAUACUAUACAUAUAUAUAGAUUUUCCCCGUAUGCUUAUGCAAGUUAAAGUGUGAAUUCUAUAUGUAGUUUAUACAUUCUGAUCUGGAUAUGUUUAUAUUUGGCAUUGGUUCUGCCUCUAUUGUUUUAUUUUGUUUUGUUGAUCUACCUAGACAUGAAUAGUUUUACAUGGAAUGGUGGUUUUUGUAGAAAAAAAACCAUAUCUUCACUGCUUUCCUCUACUAAAGUUUUGACCUUUGAUCUAAGAUAAUGUUUCAGACGGCUAAACAGUAUUCGUUAUAUUUUAUUUGGGGAAAGAGCAAAGAGUAAAAUUCUUACGAUACGUUUUGGGGGCCAAUCGCUAUUCUUUCGGUGAAGAUCUUGGCAGACGAGCUCAAAUGAUGGCUAAGGGACAUCAAGGAGAAGUUACCUAUGUGGCGCUGGAAGUUGAGACAGCGAAAUCAAGCUUUACAAUCGAGAAGACUAAUGAGCUCCCUGAUGGUCAGGUGAUCCCGAUUGGUGCAGAAAGGUUCUGCUCGGAAGUCCUCUUUCAGCCAUUGUUUGUCGGGAUAGAAGCACCAGGGUUUAUAUUGUGAUCUAGACCGUCGUUGCUAAUUUAUAGAUUUACAUAAAUUGACAUAACUCCUAACGUUUAGUUCCAGAGAUAACCUAGGUGAAGUCAUGGGAAUAAAUACAACUUACAAUAAAGAAACCCAGACCACUCAACGUGUUAUGGCAGUCAUCCGCAUUCACAGUUGCAAAACGGUGAGUUAGUGUUUUCAAUGGCCUUGCCGUGCAACUACGUACUAAAUUAGGCUCGACUGGUUUUAAGCCAAAGGUCAUAGUUGUGACAAACAUUAAUACGAAAAUGGUUGGAGGCCGACUCUUCCUAAAUUCAGCUUCUUGAACUUUCUCCUUCGACAAGGAGAGUAGCACAGGCGUCGGUUACCUGAAAGUGCUGAUGCAAACUGCGCCAGUGAGUCCUCUACUUAUAAGCAAGAUGGAGGUGUCAAGAAGAUUGAGUCGAUAACACUACCAGAGCUGAUGCUUAUGUGCUGAGUUCACCCCCGAGACUGCAUGGUUUCUAUGCCGUGGGAAGGUAACUGAACUAAAUGGUCUCCGUGCAACCACCGAGAUGCCUACUGAGAAGUCCCAAGAUGAUGAUGUUGGACACUCUGAAAGAAGUCGCGAGACUUUCACAUAUCACAGUUACUCUAAUCUCCUUAAAAAAAAUCGUUGCAUCAAUAAGAUCGAGUGCAAGUCUAUGUGGUGUUUUGACUGCAUUUAGCUGUUUAACGGGUCAAGUUAUUCUGCUAUAACCGUCUUAAUUUUUCAAAUAUUAUGAAUAUUCACUCGGAUAUACAACAUUUAUUUUAUAUUUACCUAACACUUGGAACUA